rnacentral:lncRNA from 1 species
CUAUGAUUAUAUGGUGCAAAAUAAAAUGUCCUUGGAGAAGUAACAGGCAAGACAUAACAAAAUAUUAGGAAUGUGUCAAUAAGUGCCUGUUCACUGUUGGAAAGAAAGGUGGGAAAGUAGUGGAAGUUACACUGAAGCAUUUAACAGCCUACAGAGCUACAAAUAUAUGAAGAAUACAUAAAAGCUAAAAACUUUAGGCAUCAAUACCUGUUUCCCUUUUCCCCCUGCAGUGAUAACACGGAGCACAUCAGGAGGAAGCGACUGUCCUCCGUGAGUAACUUACAGCAUUCCUUGAAAUAAAACUGUGUGAGGGGGGGAAAGGAGCCCUGAAAGUUCCUGGAAGAGGAACUUGCUUGCUCUUGGGAGUUGAAGAAAAGCAUUUCAAAAGAGCCUGUUGCACUGAGAGGAUUGACUGAGGCACUGCUGGUUCUUAGAAACUCUCUUCAGCUAAGAAACCAGCUCUUGGAGUUGCAGCUAUUGUAUUUUCUUUCAGAUUUUAAAGGCUCCACGAAAUCCUCUGGAUGAUCUGGGAAAUGGGAACGAAAUGACCCAGGACAUCCACGUAGAGAGGCGCAGGAGGAGCUCGCGCAGGGUCAGCUUCGCCAACACCAUCAACUGCAGAGUCUUCCAGCAAGAUCUUAAGAACAGCGCAUCAGAAACAGAAAAUACAGGGCAUUCAGCAGAUGAGAAGGAUGAUACCUUGACCAAUCAGUAAGUAUCAUGCCUGACAGAUAUUUGUUAUUAUUCAGUGUUUAUUAUUACCAAACCUUUUCCUCAGAAA